CCCCCUCCGCCCGGCGGCGCGGUCGCGCGCCCCCUCAGGGGCGGCUGAGGGGGAGCGGCGGGAGCGGGCCGGGGUUUCUGCAGCGCUCCUCGGCUCUGGGGUUCGCUCCGCGGCCGCAGAGGAAGGAGCCGUGGCCAGGAACGACGCGGCUCUGCCGCGGUGCUGGCGCUUCGGAAGGUGUCGCUUGCGAAAGCUGUCAGCGCUUCCCGUAGCGUGCGCCGGAGAGAGGAGGAAGGCUGCGGUGCGAUGGGGCCCUCCCGGAGGAACAGCCCCAGGCUCGCUGCUGUGGGAGGAACGAUCUUGCCACAUCGGAGCUGCAGAAAGGUCAAGCUGGAGUUGCCUUCUCGCUGAUGCGGCAAGUUGAAGUGUGGAGGAAGCUGAUAAUGCUUUUUCAGUUCCUGAGGACUUCAAGCAGCUAUGAAAGUUAUAGGACAUCAGCAGACACCAACAAUCAGCUCACAAACAGCUGCUGAGAAGUUGAAGACAAACAUCUACAGAACCAUUGAAGCAUAAAUAGUGCAGGAGCACCU